rnacentral:rRNA from 1 species
UACGGAGGGUGCAAACGUUGCUCGGAAUCAUUGGGCGUAAAGCGCACGUAGGCGGUCCAGCAAGUCGGGUGUGAAAGCCCUCGGCUUAACCGAGGAAGUGCAUUCGAAACUACUGGACUUGAGUACUGAAGAGGAUCGCGGAAUUCCCGGUGUAGAGGUGAAAUUCGUAGAUAUUCGCAAGAACACCAGUGGCGAAGGCGGCUCACUGGCCCGAUACUGACGCUGAGGCACGAAAGCGUGGGGAGCAAACAGG